rnacentral:ribozyme from 1 species
GCCCCUGCCCCUGCCGCGGGGAGCGCCGCG